rnacentral:lncRNA from 1 species
AUGUCCUGACCCCACCUUAUUUAGUUUAAUGUUUCAUAACUUUCUUGAUUAAUUUACUAUUUAUUCUUGAUUUAUUUCUAACCUAGUCUUAUUAAUUGACUUUUGGUUUGACCUAUGUUUUGUUUUAAUUAAUUCACAUGCCAAUUUUCAUUAUUUUUAAAAUCUCUUUGGGGGAUGAUGAUGUCCUGACCCCACCUUAUUUAGUUUAAUUUUUCAU